rnacentral:rRNA from 1 species
AUACAGAGGUGGCAAGCGUUGUUCGGAUUUAUUGGGUGUAAAGGGCAGGUAGGUGGCCGUGUAAGUCUGUUGUGAAAUCCCAGGGCUCAACCCUGGAACUGCAAUGGAAACUACAUGGCUUGAACAUCAUAGGGGUGAGGAGAAUUCUCGGUGUAAGGGUGAAAUCUGUAGAUAUCGAGAGGAACACCAAUGGCGAAGGCACCUCACUGGAUGAUUGUUGACGCUGAACUGCGAAAGCUAGGGGAGCAAACAGGAUUAGAAACCCCAGUAGUCC